AAACAAUAUAAGUGAUAUUAUGUUGAAGGACAGUUGACUCAGUUUUGUUGAUGGAGUGCAAUGCCAACACCAGCUGGUGUCAGCUUCCCAACGGGUGCCACAGUGACCACACUGAACGGCUAGGCCACCAGAGGUGGGGAAGUGUCUCCAGGAAGAGCUGCCGGGAUGGGAGGCGGAUCCCACUAAGCCUAACCUGGAUUCUGGGUAUAGCUGUGUCUGAUAAUUUCUGCGCCAUCAGCCUCCAGCAAAACAUUUG
rnacentral:lncRNA from 1 species